CCUACGGGAGGCAGCAGUGGGGAAUUUUCCGCAAUGGGCGAAAGCCUGACGGAGCAAUACCGCGUGAGGGAGGAAGGCUCUUGGGUUGUAAACCUCUUUUCUCAAGGAAGAAAACAAUGACGGUACUUGAGGAAUAAGCAUCGGCUAACUCCGUGCCAGCAGCCGCGGUAAUACGGAGGAUGCAAGCGUUAUCCGGAAUGAUUGGGCGUAAAGCGUCCGCAGGUGGCUGUGUAAGUCUGCUGUUAAAUAGUGAGGCUCAACCUCAUAAAGGCAGUGGAAACUACACGGCUAGAGUGCGUUCGGGGCAGAGGGAAUUCCUGGUGUAGCGGUGAAAUGCGUAGAGAUCAGGAAGAACACCGGUGGCGAAAGCGCUCUGCUAGGCCGCAACUGACACUGAGGGACGAAAGCUAGGGGAGCGAAUGGGAUUAGAUACCCCAGUAGUCCUAGCCGUAAACGAUGGAUACUAGGCGUGGCUUGUAUCGACCCGAGCCGUGCCGUAGCUAACGCGUUAAGUAUCCCGCCUGGGGAGUACGCAGGCAACUGUGAAACUCAAAUGAAUUGAGG
rnacentral:rRNA from 1 species